rnacentral:rRNA from 1 species
AAGUGGCGAACGGGUGAGUAAUACAUAAGCAACCUACCCACGAAGACUGGGAUAAUCUCUGGAAACGGGGACUAAUACCGGAUAGGUAAUCGGAAGGCAUCUUCUGACUAUUAAAGGUUAAAAACACUGGUGGAUGGGCUUAUGGCGCAUUAGUUAGUUGGUGAGGUAACGGCCCACCAAGACGAUGAUGCGUAGCCGGCCUGAGAGGGUGAACGGCCACAUUGGGACUGAGACACGGCCCAG